rnacentral:rRNA from 1 species
UACGGAGGGGGCUAGCGUUGUUCGGAAUUACUGGGCGUAAAGCGCACGUAGGCGGCUUUGUAAGUUAGAGGUGAAAGCCCGGAGCUCAACUCCGGAAUUGCCUUUGAUACUGCAUGGCUUGAAUCCGGGAGAGGUGAGUGGAAUUCCGAGUGUAGAGGUGAAAUUCGUAGAUAUUCGGAAGAACACCAGUGGCGAAGGCGGCUCACUGGACCGGCAUUGACGCUGAGGUGCGAAAGCGUGGGGAGCAAACAGG